rnacentral:lncRNA from 1 species
AAAAAAAGAGAGAAAAGUAAAAAAAAAAGGAGGAAAAAAAUGAAAAAAAAGAAAAAAAACGAAAAAAAAGAGAAAAAAAAGGGGAUUGAAAAAAAAAAAGAAAAAGAAAAAGAGAGUUUUCCCUUCGAUUUUGCAAAUUUUGCAAUUGAAUUCUGGGAGCAUUUCAUUGGAGAUUACAUUUCUAAGUUGGGGUAACACCUUGCCCUCUUAUACUGUAAUGGAAGUGGUAAUACAUGCCAAAACCGAGAUUCCGUCCUUGCACAUUUUGACAAAGGCUCAGGCAGAAGAAAUCGAAUGGAUUAAGGAGCACA